rnacentral:misc_RNA from 1 species
GGCAUAGCAGGGUAAUGAGGAGGGGCACGCUCGAAGGACGUGUUCAUGCCGUUGUGCGGGGGACGUUGGCCCUCGCUCGAGGUGGCAGAGAGAGUGGGAGUGGGGGGACUCGAAGGCGAGGUGCGGAGAUGGUCGACGAGAACAAGGACAGGGGGGUCAGCCUCGGUGGUGCGCGGCCCCGAGCCAGAGUGGCCCUUGAUCAUGCCCUGCGAAGCGAGGAAGGUCUUGAUCUUCUCGCGCAGCUCAGUGACGCUGUUGUUCUCCCUCAUCCAGUCUGGCCGCUUGGCACCGAAGCCGAGACAUUGCAACCGGAGACGGACACAAGUCUGACACGCGCCUUCUUCGU